rnacentral:rRNA from 1 species
UGGAGAAUUUUGCACAAUGGGGGGAACCUUGAUGCAGCGACGCCGCGUGAGGGAUGGAGGCCUUCGGGUUGUGAACCUCUUUCGCUCGUGUGCAAGCCGCUAUUUGGGUAGUGGUGAGUGUAGCGGGUAAAGAAGCGCCGGCUAACUACGUGCCAGCAGCCGCGGUAAUACGUAGGGCGCGAGCGUUGUCCGGAUUUAUUGGGCGUAAAGGGCUUGUAGGCGGUUUGUCGCGCCUGUCGGGUAAUCCUCUGGCUUAACUGGGGGUGUGCGGUGGGUACGGGCAGGCUAGAGUGCGGUAGGGGAGAUUGGAAUUCCUGGUGUAGGGGUGGAAUGCGCAGAUAUCAGGAGGAACACAGGUGGUGAAGGCGGGUCUCUGGGCCGUUAAUGACGCUGAGGAGCGAAAGCGUGGGGAGCGAACAGG